UGUGGAGAGCUUCCAUAUGAGCAAAUUUAAGGAUUUUACUUUUAAUUUUUAAUUUUUAUCAAUAAAAUGAGUAGUUAAAUAAAUGUAACCUUCAGUAGUGCAUGCUGUCCAUACAUCAGAAGUCAACCAUACUCUAUUAGAAACCUUAGCCAUAGUUGUUUAAGCUUCUCUUUCUCUCUCAAAUAAAUUUUUUGAACAUCAAUC
rnacentral:lncRNA from 1 species